GUGGGGAAUAUUGGUCAAUGGGCGGGAGCCUGAACCAGCCAAGUCGCGUGAAGGAAGAAGGAUCUAUGGUUCGUAAACUUCUUUUGCAGGGGAAUAAAGUGCAGGACGUGUCCUGUUUUGUAUGUACCCUGAGAAUAAGGAUCGGCUAACUCCGUGCCAGCAGCCGCGGUAAUACGGAGGAUCCGAGCGUUAUCCGGAUUUAUUGGGUUUAAAGGGUUCGUAGGUGGUUUGAUAAGUCAGCGGUGAAAGUUUGCAGCUUAACUGUAAAAAUGCCGUUGAAACUGUCGGACUUGAGUGUAAAUGAGGUAGGCGGAAUGCGUGGUGUAGCGGUGAAAUGCAUAGAUAUCACGCAGAACUCCGAUUGCGAAGGCAGCUUACUAAGCUACAACUGACACUGAAGCACGAAAGCGUGGGGAUCAAACAGGAUUAGAAACCCGGGUAGUCC
rnacentral:rRNA from 1 species